rnacentral:rRNA from 1 species
GAUGAACGCUAGCUACAGGCUUAACACAUGCAAGUCGAGGGGAAACGAUAGAGAAAGCUUGCUUUUUCUAGGCGUCGACCGGCGCACGGGUGAGUAACGCGUAUCCAACCUGCCCAUCACUUGGGGAUAACCUUGCGAAAGUAAGACUAAUACCCAAUGACGUCCAUAGAAGACAUCUGACAGGGAUUAAAGAUUUAUCGGUGAUGGAUGGGGAUGCGUCUGAUUAGCUUGUUGGCGGAGUAACGGCCCACCAAGGCGACGAUCAGUAGGGGUUCUGAGAGGAAGGUCCCCCACAUUGGAACUGAGACACGGUCCAAACUCCUACGGGAGGCAGCAGUGAGGAAUAUUGGUCAAUGGGCGAGAGCCUGAACCAGCCAAGUAGCGUGCAGGAUGACGGCCCUAUGGGUUGUAAACUGCUUUUAUAAGGGAAUAAAGUGAGCCUCGUGAGGCUUUUUGCAUGUACCUUAUGAAUAAGGACCGGCUAAUUCCGUGCCAGCCGCCGCGGUAA